rnacentral:rRNA from 1 species
UCAGGCGGGGCUCCCCUGAAUAUUUUNAAAAAU